rnacentral:rRNA from 1 species
CAGCAGCCGCGGUAACACAGAGGGUGCGAGCGUUAAUCGGAUUUACUGGGCGUAAAGCGUGCGUAGGCGGCUUUUUAAGUCGGAUGUGAAAUCCCUGAGCUUAACUUAGGAAUUGCAUUCGAUACUGGGAAGCUAGAGUAUGGGAGAGGAUGGUAGAAUUCCAGGUGUAGCGGUGAAAUGCGUAGAGAUCUGGAUGAAUACCGAUGGCGAAGGCAGCCAUCUGGCCUAAUACUGACGCUGAGGUACGAAAGCAUGGGGAGCAAACAGGAUUAGAUACCCCUGUAGUCCCUGUCUCUUAUAU